rnacentral:rRNA from 1 species
GAUGACGAGGCACUACGGUGCUGAAGCAACAAAUGCCCUGCUUCCAGGAAAAGCCUCUAAGCAUCAGGUAACAUCAAAUCGUACCCCAAACCGACACAGGUGGUCAGGUAGAGAAUACCAAGGCGCUUGAGAGAACUCGGGUGAAGGAACUAGGCAAAAUGGUGCCGUAACUUCGGGAGAAGGCACGCUGACACGUAGGUGAAGUGAUUUACUCAUGGAGCUGAAGUCAGUCGAAGAUACCAGCUGGCUGCAACUGUUUAUUAAAAACACAGCACUGUGCAAACACGAAAGUGGACGUAUACGGUGUGACGCCUGCCCGGUGCCGGAAGGUUAAUUGAUGGGGUCAGCGCAAGCGAAGCUCCUGAUCGAAGCCCCGGUAAACGGCGGCCGUAACUAUAACGGUCCUAAGGUAGCGAAAUUCCUUGUCGGGUAAGUUCCGACCUGCACGAAUGGCGUAAUGAUGGCCAGGCUGUCUCCACCCGAGACUCAGUGAAAUUGAACUCGCUGUGAAGAUGCAGUGUACCCGCGGCAAGACGGAAAGACCCCGUGAACCUUUACUAUAGCUUGACACUGAACAUUGAGCCUUGAUGUGUAGGAUAGGUGGGAGGCUUUGAAGUGUGGACGCCAGUCUGCAUGGAGCCGGCCUUGAAAUACCACCCUUUAAUGUUUGAUGUUCUAACGUGGACCCGUGAUCCGGGUUGCGGACAGUGUCUGGUGGGUAGUUUGACUGGGGCGGUCUCCUCCUAAAGAGUAACGGAGGAGCACGAAGGUUGGCUAAUCCUGGUCGGACAUCAGGAGGUUAGUGCAAUGGCAUAAGCCAGCUUGACUGCGAGCGUGACGGCGCGAGCAGGUGCGAAAGCAGGUCAUAGUGAUCCGGUGGUUCUGAAUGGAAGGGCCAUCGCUCAACGGAUAAAAGGUACUCCGGGGAUAACAGGCUGAUACCGCCCAAGAGUUCAUAUCGACGGCGGUGUUUGGCACCUCGAUGUCGGCUCAUCACAUCCUGGGGCUGAAGUAGGUCCCAAGGGUAUGGCUGUUCGCCAUUUAAAGUGGUACGCGAGCUGGGUUUAGAACGUCGUGAGACAGUUCGGUCCCUAUCUGCCGUGGGCGCUGGAGAACUGAGGGGGGCUGCUCCUAGUACGAGAGGACCGGAGUGGACGCAUCACUGGUGUUCGGGUUGUCAUGCCAAUGGCACUGCCCGGUAGCUAAAUGCGGAAGAGAUAAGUGCUGAAAGCAUCUAAGCACGAAACUUGCCCCGAGAUGAGUUCUCCCUGAGACUUUAGGUCUCCUGAAGGAACGUUGAAGACGACGACGUUGAUAGGCCGGGUGUGUAAGCGCAGCGAUGCGUUGAGCUAACCGGUACUAAUGAACCGUGAGGCUUAACCUUACA